CCUACGGGAGGCAGCAGUGGGGAAUAUUGGGCAAUGGGCGCAAGCCUGACCCAGCAACGCCGCGUGAAGGAAGAAGGCUUUCGGGUUGUAAACUUCUUUUCUCAGGGACGAAGCAAGUGACGGUACCUGAGGAAUACGCCACGUCUAACUACGUGCCAGCAGCCGCGGUAAUACGUAGGUGGCAAGCGUUAUCCGGAUUUACUGGGUGUAAAGGGCGUGUAGGCGGGAAAGCAAGUCAGAUGUGAAAACCAUGGGCUCAACCUGUGGCCUGCAUUUGAAACUGUUUGUCGUGAGUACUGGAGAGGCAGACGGAAUUCCUAGUGUAGCGGUGAAAUGCGUAGAGAUUAGGAGGAACACCAGUGGCGAAGGCGGUCUGCUGGACAGCGACUGACGCUGAGGCGCGAAAGCGUGGGUAGCAAACAGGAUUAGAUACCCUUGUAGUC
rnacentral:rRNA from 1 species